rnacentral:misc_RNA from 1 species
AAGUCGUAACAAGGUCUCCGUUGGUGAACCAGCGGAGGGAUCAUUACCGAGUUUACAGCUCCCAAACCCCGUGUGAACCGUAUACAAACCGUUGCCUCGGCGGGGUCACGCCCCGGGCGCGUCGCAGCCCCGGAACCAGGCGCCCGCCGGAGGGACCAACAACCAAACCCUCUCUGUAUGUCUAACUUGGCAGCUCUGAGCGAAAAUUCAAAAUGAAUCAAAACUUUCAACAACGGAUCUCUUGGCUCUG